GCGUACGCGUCGUCCAAGCCCAAGAAUAGAACGAGGCGUCGCAGCAGGGGUUGUCUGCGGUCCACGUGAGCGAGGCGAGGGGCGGCCCGAGACGGUCGAUAGUGGCGCUGUCGUCGUUGUCCGCGAGGUAGAGGGUGGCGGCGCCGGUCGCAGGGAGGACGGGGGCACCGGCGGCUGGUGAACUCGGAGGCUGCGGCUGCGCGACGACGUCCGUGGUGGUGGUGACAACUACGGCGAUGCGACCACGAUGCGGCAGGGUAUGGAGGCUUCCUCGCCUGGGCUCGGGCGCGUCAGCACGGCGUCGGGCCGUUGCCGGUGGCGUCGAGGCCGGCUCACGCACGGACAGGGCGCCCAAGGGUGAGCCGCCGCGGCGUGUGGGCGGGCUGAGCCGGGCGUUCCACCACGAUGCGGCGGGGAUGAAAGCCGCCUCGCCGGGGCUUGUGGGGCAGCACGGCGUCGGGCCGUUGAGCAGAUCUUCUCCAUCCUCGAGUCCAACUUCCUGUUUGGCGCGCAGGCGCUGGAGCCGGCAGGGGCAUGCUCUGCGGGGCGCGCUCGCCGCGGCCGUGCUGGUAAGGCUCGAGCGCGGACUGCGGGAGCUGUCCGGGAACCCCGAGGCCCGCGUAGUGGACUAUUUCAAGCAGGGUCCGGCGCCGGAUGGUUCCUGGCGGCUGCGUUGUUCGCGCGCCGGAUGCCGGCGGAGGCGGCGUGCGACGUCGUGGCCAAGAACCGCAAGGUGUUCUCCGGGCGCCACGGCCGCGGUGGGUUCUUCUCCGGGGCCGAUGCAGGUUUUGGAAUUGCUUGAAGUUGUACAGUUCAGAUGUCCAUACACUUCAAUGUAAUACCCUCAGCUGCUUUCCAAUCUGAGAGUUGAAUCGAAGAUUGAAGAGAUCCUACGGAAUUCUGCAACAUCUGAAUUUGGUAGUGUAUAUUAUUUUUCGGAGAGAGGUGAUCGACUGAUUGAUCUUGAUGUGUUCCAUCAAAAGCUUAUCUAGGUUGCUUGUUCAGUCUUGUUCAUAUUGGGUUUGAGAUUAUUAUGUUCUUCAAGUUGCUUCUCUUGAUGUUCAGAUGUCUCAAGAACUGCGCACACAAUUGAGCGAGUCUGAGAAAGGAGAGCUAAAAGGAUCGUUCCAUCAUAUGCUGAAAUGGGCCUGGAGAUAUAAUAAAUAUCUUGAAGAACAGGCAGCCCAGCUUCACAUGUUAACUAGCUGGUCGAAAAUUGUUGAAGUGAGUUGUGUGUGUGCAUGACCACUUAAUCUUUUCUGUUGGGAAUUUCAUAUUGUAACCCGCUUAUUGUUAAUUUCAGGUAGUUGUAUCAAGAAGUAAUAAUUUUAAGACAUUGAAGUUCAGAACCUCUAUUGAAACUCUUUCGUAGUAUUAUAUGAACUUCUGUAUUUGAACUCUUUCAUAGACGUUUAUACUGAGGUUGCUCUUCUAUAGACAUUUAUAGAGGUUGCUCUUUUAUAGACAUUUCGAAGCAAGCCGCUAAGCCCAAGUCUCGAAUCAGGAUUGUCGUCGUUCGUCAGUUCCAAUGCAGCUAGGACAUUGUGGCGGCAACGGUGGGAUUUGGGUCGGCGAGCUGCAGGGAUUUGCUGGACGCGCGCCAUCACAUGUCGAGCCACACAUAGUGACCGAUGGUGGCGGAUUAGAGUUGGAAUCCAAGAGGUUUGUGUGGUUUCAGUUAUCCGGUGAUUGGGCAAGAGCGGAGCAACAGAGGCCGGCCAAGAACAUGACCAGGGAUAACACAUCUUGCUCGAUUUCCCGAGCGACCCAAGGUUGGUUGCAUCCUGCAUGACCUCAUAUUGUUUAUGAGAGUUUUGUGAUGUUCUUUCUUUAGAGAAGUUUUGUGAUCUUAAUUCAUGAGACAUUUGACGUGAUACUAUGUGGCUGUAAACGUAAUCUGCAAUUCAGAGCAAACAGAGUGAACAAACCAAGGACAUGAAGGUUAGUCCGUUAGUGUCUUACUUUUCUUUUUGUAAUUCUAUCGUACUGUAUAGUUAGUACAAAAUCAUCAAAUAUUCAGGAUAUGUUUACAAUUUUGUGAAACUGAAAUGUGCAACAUGUUCAGUGGACUGGUGAAUUAUAAUUUUGUGAAACUGAAAUGUGUUACUGAAACCUGACCGGUGAUGAACUAACCGAUUCACACAAGGGCUUGCUGAUAACAACUUGAGUUGGCCGAGUCUCGCCGAGUUGAGCGUGGAGUAGAAGGUGUCGAGUGAACUUGAGUCAGUGUCAUUCGCUGUAAUGAUCGCCCGGGCGGCCUUGUAGCUGUCUCAGAUGGAGUUCAGGGGAAAGACCAAGAGGAGGUGCGAUAAGAUUGAGCUUUCCAGAAUUUUGGGGAGGUGGCGCUUGUCGCACUGCAAAACUUUUAUUUGUAUAUGUUGCAUGCUACUACCUCCUAAUCAAUAUGUCAUUGAAAUGAAGUAGAUGCAGCUCUUCAUAGAUAUUGUCACAUGUUCUGGUUUGCAGGUUAAAUAUUUGAUGCCCUCGUUUUGGUAAUGAGAGCAAUGCAAUAUUCUGAAGGUCACACAUGUGAGGGAAACUGGCACGUGUCUAUCUCUUAAGCUGGAAACUGCAAUUUGUGUUCUGAGCUAUGAGCUCCAAAUAAAUUAGUUUUCUCUGUUCUUCAAGUUGUUAUCUUAUUUUAGGAUUGGCAUCACUAAUAAUGCGGAGGGGUUUUUCCGUUCAAUAAAAUAUUAAAUUCCAAAUUCGUUACCAGUUUCUAUAAGUAUUGUACUGUUUUGUUAGCUUGUUGUUUGCCAUUUAUAUUAAUUUCCAUUCUUACCCACUUCCUCUGAUUGUAGCUCUUUGUGUGAAUCGGUUAGUUCAUCACCAGUCAGGUUUUUUAAAAUUUCAGGUAAGUAAAUUGAUAUGCAAUGUACAAUCAAUUGAUGAAUUGAUAAUUUGGUGUAGCAUGGAGAUCGAUCUCAUUGGUACAUAUAUUCUUCAGUUGGAAUAAGGCAAUCUGUGUGUUGUCUAUAAUCUCACACUUGAGUUUUGAGCACUGUUCUCACCUUCUUUACUUGAUAAAAAAAUCAUUAUUCAACUUUGUUCUCUCAUGAUCACAUCGCAAGUUGUAUGGAUAUACUUUAAUAAUACAUUGCCCCAAAAGGUAAUUGGCUUUGACGUUCA